UACAGAGGUCUCAAGCGUUGUUCGGAUUCAUUGGGCGUAAAGGGUGUGUAGGUGGCGCCGUAAGUCGGGUGUGAAAUUUCGGAGCUUAACUCCGAAACUGCAUUCGAUACUGCGGUGCUUGAGGACUGGAGAGGAGACUGGAAUUCAUGGUGUAGCAGUGAAAUGCGUAGAGAUCAUGAGGAAGACCAGUGGCGAAGGCGGGUCUCUGGACAGUUCCUGACACUGAGACACGAGGCCAGGGGAGCAAACGGG
rnacentral:rRNA from 1 species